CGUUAAACUUCUGCAGAUGCAAACUGAAGUCAUGUCAGAUGUGAUCACUGAAGGAACUGUGUGCCCUGAAAUUUCACAAGAAGACAUUCCCCGCAGCUCUCUGAAUGCCCAUUGGGACACAAGAUGUUGCUUAUUCCAACACUUGUGACUGAAUUUGCAUUAAAGGCAAACUUGGAAGAGGAGCAAAAGGUGGCUGCAGUGUUGUUGAGAGAUGUUGGAAUAGAUAAAUCACUGCCCUUUCUGCAAUAAGUACCUGUUCUUCUGAGAGAUUUAUAAACAAGAAGGUAGCUUGAUCAAAAAAAUAUUUUAAAAUAAAUAGACAGAAU